AGGUAAAGAAUAGAUAAGACUGGUGGUUGAGUUUUUGCCUUCUUCUCCAAUCUUUACAGAUUGUUGGGGACAAUUCUCUCUUUGGAAUUCUCUCUGUAGUAGUACUGUUGCUAAAAACAGAUCUUUGGUAAAUGGGGUCAGAAGGGCCUCCAUCGGUUACAAUUCAUGUAACGGGGUUUAAGAAGUUUCAUGGAGUUUCUGAUAAUCCAACUGAGAAAAUAGUGAACAAUCUCAAGAAGUAUAUGGAGAAGAAUGGUUUGCCAGAAGGUCUAACUCUUGGGAGUUGCAGCAUUCUUGAGACUGCGGGGCAAGGAGCUCUUGAUUUGCUACAUAAGACGUUGCAAUCUGCUCUAGAUGGGAAGGGUUCUGAACCUACCAAUUCCAGAAGAAUCAUUUGGCUUCACUUGGGAGUUAAUAGCGGUGCUUCAAGGUUUGCCAUCGAACACCAAGCCUUUAAUGAAGCCACUUUUCGUUGUCCUGAUGAAAUGGGAUGGAAGCCUCAGAAAGUACCAAUUGUACCAGAUGAUGGUGAAAUAUCACGUACACGAGAGACCUCUCUUCCAGUGGAGGAAAUAACCAAGACACUGGCAAAGAAGGGAUAUGAAGUGAUGACUUCAGACGAUGCUGGUCGGUUCGUGUGCAAUUAUGUCUACUACCAUUCCCUCCGCCAUGCAGAAGAGAACGGCAUCAAAUCACUAUUUGUUCAUGUUCCUCUCUUCUUAACUAUAGAUGAAGAGACCCAGAUGCAAUUUAUUGCUUCCUUGUUAGAGGUACUUGCGUCUUCAAGUUAUUAGGCUACCAAUGUAUAGGAGGUUGUAUUGGGGUGAUGCUUGUUUGUCAAGAU
rnacentral:misc_RNA from 1 species